AUUGAACGCUGGCGGCAUGAUUCACACAUGCAAGUCGAACGGUAACAGGCCGCAAGGUGCUGACGAGUGGCGAACGGGUGAGUAAUGCAUCGGAACGUGCCCAGUCGUGGGGGAUAACUACUCGAAAGAGUAGCUAAUACCGCAUACGAUCUAUGGAUGAAAGCGGGGGACCGUAAGGCCUCGCGCGAUUGGAGCGGCCGAUGUCAGAUUAGGUAGUUGGUGGGGUAAAGGCUCACCAAGCCAACGAUCUGUAGCUGGUCUGAGAGGACGACCAGCCACACUGGGACUGAGACACGGCCCAGACUCCUACGGGAGGCAGCAGUGGGGAAUUUUGGACAAUGGGCGCAAGCCUGAUCCAGCAAUGCCGCGUGCAGGAAGAAGGCCUUCGGGUUGUAAACUGCUUUUGUACGGAACGAAACGGCUCUGGUUAAUACCCGGGGCUAAUGACGGUACCGUAAGAAUAAGCACCGGCUAACUACGUG
rnacentral:rRNA from 1 species